UGUAUUAAUUGCUUUCUGGCAGUAAGCCUCUCUUUCUUCUUAUUUUCAGUCUUUAAACUAUGACCUCAGCUGAUCUGGGACAGUAAUCGAAGCUAUGUCUUGCUAACACAAUGAGAACAGCACUACAGAAGUUGCCUGGAAAAAUUCUGGGAUACUGGACUGGUUCAGUUUAUGUUAACUCACACACAGGAUUAUUUUAAAGUUCUUCAGUAUUCUUAACUGAAAGAAAAAAUGACAAGAACAGCAAUUCAAGUGUUAUUGCUCUAUUGCUUUUCUGCUAGAUGGCUCACAGAGUGGGAGUAGGGGGCAGAAUUAGCAAGCAAACCCAAAAAGACACAGUUGCUCUGUUUCCAAUGGUGUCUGCCUGCCAACCAGCUUUUACUGAAGCUAGUGUUACUAAGCAGAAAGAGUAUGCAAAGAGGUCAUGGAAGCACACAGCAGAAAGAACCUACAAGCCAAGAGAAGAGGCUCCAGAAUUUAACCUACAUUGGCCGCAAUUUGCUGUUGGACUUCUGGUGUACAGAACUUGAAUGAAAAAAUUCUCUGUCGUUCAGACUAUCCCAGAUGCAAUAUUUUGUCAUGGCAGCUGGUUCUAAUACAAAAGUAUUCACAAAUA